UUCCUGAGUUUGUGAUCGGAAAGGGCGGAUUAAUUUUCACAAAGGAGCAAUGCAAAAUGGCAUUAACCGUAGAGCAAAAAGCCAAGAUCGUUUCUGAGUUUGCACGUGGUGA
rnacentral:ncRNA from 1 species